UACGUAGGGUGCGAGCGUUAAUCGGAAUUACUGGGCGUAAAGCGUGCGCAGGCGGUUCGUUAAGUUCGAUGUGAAAGCCCCGGGCUCAACCUGGGAACUGCAUUGGAAACUGGCGAGCUUGAGUAUGGCAGAGGGGGGUGGAAUUCCGCGUGUAGCAGUGAAAUGCGUAGAGAUACGGAGGAACACCGAUGGCGAAGGCAGCCCCCUGGGCCAAUACUGACGCUCAGGCACGAAAGCGUGGGGAGCAAACAGG
rnacentral:rRNA from 1 species